rnacentral:rRNA from 1 species
UAAGACGUAGGAUGCGAGCGUUGUCCGGAUUUAUUGGGCGUAAAGAGUUCGUAGGUGGUUUGUUAAGUCUGAUGUUAAAGACUGAGGCUCAACCUCGGAAAUGCAUUGGAUACUGGCAGACUCGAGUGUAGUAGAGGCAAGCGGAAUUCCAGGUGUAGCGGUGAAAUGCGUAGAUAUCUGGAAGAACACCAGUGGCGUAAGCGGCUUGCUGGGCUAUAACUGACACUGAGGAACGAAAGCCAGGGUAGCGAAUGGGAUUAGAUACCCCAGUAGUCCUGGCCGUAAACGAUGGAUACUAGGCGUAGCGGGUAUCGACCCCUGCUGUGCCGUAGCUAACGCGAUAAGUAUCCCGCCUGAGUAGUACGGCCGCAAGGUUG